GAGAGAACUCUCGUUAAGGAACUCGGCAAAAUGACCCCGUAACUUCGGGAGAAGGGGUGCUGACUUAAAGUCAGCCGCAGUGAAUAGGCCCAAGCAACUUUAUUUCAAAAACAGCUCUCUGCUAAAUUGUAUAAGAUGAUGUAGGGGGUGACGCCCCUGCCCGGUGCUGGAAGGUUAAGAGGAGUGCUGCGUAAGCGAAGGUAUGAAUUGAAGUCCCAGUGUAAACGGCGGCCGUAACUAACGGGGUCCUAAGGUAGCGAAAUUCCUUGUCGUAAGUUCCGACCCGCACGAUAGGCGUAAUAAGAUUUGGGCACUGUCAACUAGAGACUCGGUGUGAAAUUUUAGUACCUGUGAAGAUAGGUUACUCCCGCGACAGGGGAAAGACCUCCCAGAGCUUUACUCUGCAGUUUGAUAUUGAGUGUCUGUAACAUGUAUACAGGAUAGGUAGGAGUCUUAGAGAUCGGGGCCAGUGUUUCAGGAGACGCUGUUGGGAUACUACUCCCUUGUUAUGGCCACUCUAACCCAGAUAGGUGAUCCUUAUCGGAGAGACAGUGUGACGGGCAGUUUGUCUGGGGCGGUCGCCUCCUAAAAGGUAACGGAGGCGCCCAAAGGUUCCCUCAGAAUGGUUGGAAAUCAUUUUCGCAGAGUGUAAAGAUAAGGGAGCUUGUGAGCGAGAGAUACAAAACUCGAGCAGACUCGAAUCUCGGGCUUAGUGAUCCGGUGGUUCCGUAUGGAAGGGCCAUCUCAACGGAUAAAAGCUACCCCCUGGGGAUAACAGGCUUAUCCCCCAAGAGUUUACAUCGAUGGUGAGGUUUGGCACCUCGAUGUGUCGGCGUCGCAUCCUGGGGCUGUAGUCGGUUCCAAGGGUUGGGCUGUUCGCUUAUUAAAGCGGCACGCGAGAGCUGGUCAGAACGUUGUGUGACAGUUCGCGGUCCCUUCGUCUCGGGCGUGUAAAAUUUGAGAGGAUCUGCUCCCCUAGUUCGAGGACCAGAGUGGACUUACUCCGCGUGUGUACCAGUUCUUGCCAAAGGCAUUGCUGGGUAGCUAUAUGUAGGGAAGGGAUAAACGCUGAAAGCCUAAGUGUGAAACCCAUCUCAUAAGAUGAGAUUUCCCAUGAUUAUAUCAGUUAGAGAGCCCUGAGAGAUGAUCAGGUAGAUAGGUUAGAAGUGGAAGUGGCGAUACACAUGUAGCGGACUAAUAAAUAGCUCGAGGAUACUUAUCCAA
rnacentral:rRNA from 1 species